AGCAUAUCAAUAAGCGGAGGAAAAGAAACCAACUGGGAUUGCCUUAGUAACGGCGAGUGAAGCGGCAAUAGCUCAAAUUUGAAAGCUGGCCCCUUUGGGGUCCGCGUUGUAAUUUGUAGAGGAUGAUUCGGCGAGGGCUCCCGUCUAAGUCCCCUGGAACGGGGCGUCAUAGAGGGUGAGAAUCCCGUAUGUGAUGGGUUGCCUUAGCCAUGUGAAUCUCCUUCGACGAGUCGAGUUGUUUGGGAAUGCAGCUCUAAAUGGGAGGUAAAUUUCUUCUAAAGCUAAAUACCGGCCAGAGACCGAUAGCGCACAAGUAGAGUGAUCGAAAGAUGAAAAGCACUUUGGAAAGAGAGUUAAAAAGUACGUGAAAUUGUUGAAAGGGAAGCGCUUGCAGCCAGACUUGUCCGCAGUUGCUCAGCCGGUCUCCUGACCGGCGUACUCUUCUGCGGCCAGGCCAGCAUCAGUUCGGGCGGUCGGAUAAAGACCCCAGGAAUGUAGCUCCUCUCGGGGAGUGUUAUAGCCUGGGGUGGAAUGCGGCCAGCCUGGACUGAGGAUCUCGCUUCGGCUAGGAUGCUGGCGUAAUGGCUGUAAGCGGC
rnacentral:rRNA from 1 species